GGGCGAUUGGCUCAGUCGGUUAGAGCGCGCGGUUCACAUCCGCGAGGUCACUGGUUCGAAUCCAGUAUCGCCCACCA
rnacentral:tRNA from 6 species